UUAAUUCAGACGUCUUAUUUAAUUUCUUUUGUUGAUUUAUUUAUUUUUAUUUGAUGUUAAGAUUGAGGGGGAUUAGCUCCUUGUUCUGUUUUUAUAAUUGAUUUUAGGUUAAUUUAGUUUUGUGGAUUUUAUAGUGAUUUUCUAUUUGAUUAUGUUAAAAUUUUAUUUGUUCUUUUUUUAAUUUUUUUUAAUUUAAAUUAUUUAUUGAAAUGUUUUCUUUACUUUUGGUAUGUGUAGUAAUUAUUGUGUAAUUAGUAAAUUUUGUUGGUUGUUUUGUGAGAAAGAUGGAGUGUUAGUUGCUUUUGAGGAAUUCGGCAAAUCUUAUGUCCGCCUGUUUAACAAAAACAUCUCUUCUUGUUAGUUUUUGAAGUAUGGCCUGCCCGCUGACUGUAGGUUGAAGGGCCGCGGUAUUUUGACCGUGCAAAGGUAGCAUAAUCAUUAGUUCUUUAAUUGUGAUCUGGUAUGAAUGGCUUGACGAGACAUGAGCUGUCUUAGAGGUAUUGAUUUAUUGAACUUGGUUUUUGAGUUAGAAUUCUUAAAUGUUUUUAUGGGACGAGAAGACCCUAUAGAGUUUUACACUUUUCUUACUUGUUUGUUGUUUGUUGUUUACAUUGAGUGGGAAGAUUGUUUUGUUGGGGUGAUGGGAGGAAUAUUAUUUAACUCCUCUUUGUUUUUUUAUAUUUAUUUAUAUCUUUUUGAUCCAUUUAUUUUGAUUAUAAGAUUAAAUUACC
rnacentral:rRNA from 1 species